GGAGUACGAGCAGGGCCGCUGUCCGAGCGAAUAAAUUGAAUCCAUGCUCGGGGAAAAGUCCCCGGACGAUAGCUAGAGAGUAGCGGGCCUUGAUGGUCCUUUCAUCACCGCCACGUGUGUGCUUAUGCCUGCCAGUGAUGCUCAUACUACGGGCUAGGUACCCUUACAGGGCACGUCGGUUGUUUGUGGUGUCUUCGUCGAAGCAAAGUUAUGCGGCCGUUGCCAAUGUAACUGUUUUCAGUUUCAAUUUUGCAAUAUCUUAACGGGGCUCACUCGCUCUGUACUC
rnacentral:RNase_MRP_RNA from 2 species